AUUUACGGUAUACGUACGUACAC
rnacentral:siRNA from 1 species